GACGAACGCUGGCGGCGUGCUUAACACAUGCAAGUCGAACGGAAAGGCCCGGCGUUUGUGGGUUGCUCGAGUGGCGAACGGGUGAGUAACACGUGAGUAACCUGCCCUUGACUUUGGGAUAACUUCAGGAAACUGGGGCUAAUACCGGAGAGGAGCUCCUGCAGCAUGGUGGUGGUUGGAAAAUGUCGGCUGUUGGGGCUGGACUCGCGGCUUAUGAGCUUGUUGGGGGGGUAGUGGCUUACCAAGGCUUUGACGGGUAGCCGGCCUGAGAGGGUGACCGGCCACAUUGGGACUGCGAGACGGCCCAGACUGCUACGGGAGGCAGCAGUGGGGAAUCUUGCACAACGGGGGGAAGCCUGAUGCAGCAACCCCGCGUGCGGGAUGCCGGCCUUCGGGUUGUAAACCGCUUUCGACUGUGACGAAGCGUGAGUGACGGUAAUGGGUAAAGAAGCACCGGCUAACUACGUG
rnacentral:rRNA from 1 species